CUAACACAGAAACGGCGCCCCACCCUUACACUGUUCAUCUUCCUCGCUGAGCCAAGCCUCAACUCGCCUCCCCUCUACAUCACUUUAUUCCAACGAUUUUUUUGUCAGAGAAGAAAGAAUAUUCUCUCCAAAAAUUGCACGAUUUCUGUAAGAAAGAACGAUUUGCUGGAUGAAUAGGAGGCGUGGAUGGAUGUAAAUCGAUCCAUGCCUUCCAUUUGUCCCAAAAAUCAUUCAAAAACGUGAGGAUUUUUGGAUAUUUGGGCAGAAGCUUCGAGAUUUUUUGAGGGAUAUAUAUAUAUAUAAGAAUGGUUUUGGAUUGAAGUUCGAGUUAGAGGUUUGUGGCUGGGGUUUGGAAUGUUGGGCACUAUGGAUUUUCGUCCGAAUUUUUGGUUGCGAUUUGGAUUUGGUUGGUUGAUUUGCUGAGCUUCGUUUCUUCAUCUUAGAUUUUAAUUAGCCAUCUACGGCUGUUCUGGAUUUAUUUUAGGUAUGUCUUCUUAUUCCUAUUGUCUUCUUAUUCGACUAUGAAUAAACAUUUGAGGGCUUAUUAUACGGAUUUGCUUUGUGUUUAGUUUGAUUCCCAUUUCUUCACUUCUGCAUUUUUACGAUAAUUUGAAUGCGCCUGGUUAUCUGGUUCUGCAAAUCUCUAUUAGAUGUCACUCAUAGAACACAUUUGACAUAUGGUUAGUCCAGAGUAAGUUUUAACUAAACUGCAUUUGUUUGUUCCAUUUAAGGACAGUAAAUUGAGCUAACAUGUAUUAUUUGGUCGCUUGAACUCAUUGGAGUCGUGUUCAAUCAUAACUGUAGUAUUCAAGAGUUAAAAAAUGUUUACACCUACCAAAUUGGUUGAUACUCAUCAUGCUAAGUCUUGUUCGAUUAUCUCUUUUUUUUGAAACGAAAUAUGAAUCAACAUCCAAGUCUACUGCAUUUGUUAUGUUUGAAAAGAAUGAUUUUUUGAUUCUAUUUUGUAUCUCUCAUUGAGUAAUGUGGUUUUACAAGAUGGAAAUUGGGUGAAAGCAUGUGAAAUUUUCAGAAUUUAGCAAAAGUGUUGGGAUGUUCUAACUAUGAUUUUAAUUAGUUUCACAUGAUGCAGCUUUGUGAUUUGAUGAUAAUUGCUUUGGAUCUGUUGUAACUAUGAGCCAGCUUGAGAAAGUAGCUAGUAUGGACAGAACACCACUGUCUUGCAAUUGAUAUUUUCUUUAACUGGAAAUGUUGGUUAUGUCAUUAAAUUGAAGAGUAAUAGCCAUGUGUAUUGUUCUAUAAUUAACCCUUUUAAUUUGUUGUAUUGUGGAAUGUGAGACCGUUGGGUUUCUUUGUAUUGCGUCGUGGGGAAGGACAUGACAUGUCCAAAUCUUGCGAAUAAUACUCUGUGCAUUUCACUCGUGUCCUUCUCUUGAACUAUUAAAUCCAAGUCCGUUAAUGAGAAUUUUGUUUCUAAUGCUUUCCUUCA